rnacentral:snRNA from 1 species
UGUCAUGAAAUUGGGUGUGACAUCUAUCACCCCACUGAUUACCAGUUGACCCCGCUGAUCACCAUUGAUUCAGCUGAUCUGGCUAGAUGGGUGUUUCCUUCCUCCUUCACCAUUCUAUAUGAGUCCCUACUGAAGCUGUAUGUUUGGUUGAAGAGAACAGCCAUCUCUGAUAAAGGAGAACCACAGCUGAAUUCUUCCAGAUGUAUAAAAAGAGCUGGUAGCAAUCCUACUAAAAGUAUUAUAAGAAAUUGAGAGGAAGGACUCCACCCUAACUCAUUCUAUGUUGCCAACAUUA